rnacentral:rRNA from 1 species
UUCUACGGCCAUACUAGCCUAAACACGCCUGAUCUCUUCUGAUCUUGUCUGAUCUCAGAAGCUAAGCAGAGUCGGGCCUGGUUAGUACUUGGAUGGGAGAAUGAGUGACAAAGGAU